GGAGAUGUAGCUCAGUGCUAGAGCACCUGAGUUUGAGCUCCAAUUAAAAAAAAAAAAAAAAAUCAAUUUUUUUAUUUCCA
rnacentral:tRNA from 1 species